rnacentral:rRNA from 1 species
GACGAACGCUGGCGGCGUGCUUAACACAUGCAAGUCGAACGGAAAGGCCCUGCUUUUGUGGGGUGCUCGAGUGGCGCAGGGGUGAGUAACACGUGAGUAACCUGCCCUUGACUUUGGGAUAACUUCAGGAAACUGGGGCUAAUACCGGAUAGGAGCUCCUGCUGCAUGGGGGGGGUUGGAAAGUUUCGGCGGUGGGGGAUGGACUCGCGGCUUAUCAGCUUGUUGGUGGGGUAGUGGCUUACCAAGGCUGUGACGGGUAGCCGGCCUGAGAGGGUGACCGGCCACAUUGGGACUGAGAUACGGCCCAGACUCCUACGGGAGGCAGCAGUGGGGAAUAUUGCACAAUGGGCGGAAGCCUGAUGCAGCAACGCCGCGUGCGGGAUGACGGCCUUCGGGUUGUAAACCGCUUUCGCCUGUGACGAAGCGUGAGUGACGGUAAUGGGUAAAGAAGCACCGGCUAACUACGUG